rnacentral:rRNA from 1 species
ACUCCUACGGGAGGCAGCAGUAACGAAUCUUCCACAAUGCGCGAAAGCGUGAUGGAGCAAUGCCGCGUGCAGGAUGAAGCCCUUCGGGGUGUAAACUGCUGUCAGGUUUUAGGAACACAAUGACCAAAGCCAAAGGAAGAGACGACUAACUCUGUGCCAGCAGCCGCGGUAAU